rnacentral:rRNA from 1 species
UACAGAGGUGCGAGCGUUGUCCGGAAUCACUGGGCGUAAAGGGCGCGUAGGCGGCUUGAUAAGCGUGCGGUGAAAGCCCGGGGCUCAACCCGGGUCGGCCGUGCGAACUGUCGAGCUGGAGCACUGUAGAGGCAGGUGGAAUUCCGGGUGUAGCGGUGGAAUGCGUAGAGAUCCGGAAGAACACCGGUGGCGAAGGCGGCUCUCUGGGACGGUACUGACGCUGAGACGCGAAAGCGUGGGGAGCGAACAGG